rnacentral:rRNA from 1 species
UGGGGAAUAUUGGACAAUGGGGGCAACCCUGAUCCAGCGAUGCCGCGUGUGUGAAGAAGGCCUGCGGGUUGUAAAGCACUUUAGUUGGGGAGGAAAGGUAUGUACUGCAUAAGUGCAUGCUGUGACGUUACCCAAAGAAUAAGCACCGGCAAACUCUGUGCCAGCAGCCGCGGUAAUACAGAGGGUGCAAGCGUUAAUCGGACUUACUGGGCGUAAAGGGCGCGUAGGCGGCGUGGUAAGUCAUCUGUGAAAUCUCCGAGCUUAACUCGGAACGGUCAGAUGAUACUGCUGUGCUAGAGUACAGAAAGGGCAAUCGGAAUUCUUGGUGUAGCGGUGAAAUGCGUAGAUAUCAAGAGGAACACCUGAGGCGAAGGCGGGUUGCUAGGCUGAUACUGACGCUGAGGCGCGAAAGCCAGGGGAGCAAACGGGAUUAGAUACCCCCGUAGUCCCUGAGCGGGCUGGCAAGGCGCAU